UAACCUCUCAUUUUCUUUUCAGUUAUUUAUUUUGAAUCUGUAUGUAGUGUUCAGUGUUGUGAAUUUGUAAAGAAGAGUUUAUGCAUAUUUUAAGUUAAUUAUAUUACUAUCAUAUUUCGUAAAACUUAAAAGUGAAAAAACACUCACAUUCUUUGAUGUGGCGACGUCCGUUUAAUUAUAUAUUAAUUGCAAGUUACUAACUUAUGUCGUGAAACUAUUGUAGGCCUAGUGUGAUUUUGUAUUGUUAGAUUCAAAACUACCGGUAUUUGAGAAUCAACUAUUCUUUCAAUGAGAGACAAAUUCGAGCUCAAUACUGAUAUUCUAACAGCCUGCAACAGGUGUGAGUCACUAAAAGAUAUCGGUUCAAAGGAGUUUCAGAAUGUUAGUGAGCUGUGGAUGCACGUGAAAUCAGUUGAAGAAGACGUUGACAACAAGCUAAUCUCUUUCACUGAUUUGAAUGAACAGCAAAUGCAGCUGCUCCAUGACUACAAUGACAUGAAGGACUUGACUCAGUGCGUCUUCGGUCGACUGGCGACCAUUCUCGACGUGUCCGUUAGUCAAGUGCACAAAAAGUUUGAUCUUUAUGAUGCACUGACGAUGAUAUAGGAGAAGGCGAACAGCGUAGUGGAGCAGUACCUAGACGUGCCCUCCUGGAUCCACCGACAUCUGAUCGGCAAAAAGGGCGCCGACAUUCUCAAGACGGAGGAGGACAGCCCCAAGAUCUAUUUCGACUAGUUUUCUUACUUCCAUGGAUUCUGUAUACAUGGCUAUAUCUGCACACACAUCAUGUGUUUGCUAAGCUCGGUUCGAUCUGGUAGGAAGGACGGCCAGAAGUCGAUUACCUAAUAGAUAACAUUGAAGUUGGAUUUUAAUAUAAAGUCGCAAGUUGCCGAUUUACAUAGUAGAAAAAGGAUUGAAGAAUUGGCACAUAAAGCUUAUAAACACCUCAUUCAAGAAUAUGGAAGAGCUGAGUACAUAGUACAAGAGGCCAGUAGACUGACUGAGAUCUUUGAAAUUGCCCAUCCCUAUAUGAUUUUGGAAGUGGCAUCAAUGGCUUUGCAUGAGGAAAAUGGCGAGCUUGCUGUCGAAUUACUCACUUCUCAAUCGACCAUCCAUUAAAUGCUGCAGAAUUAUACAACUCAAUAUCUCGUUGAUUCAGUGUCUAUUGAUCAGAAAUUGUGCACAAAAUUGUUGGAUUUUGUUGGGGAACAUAUUUUCAACCUUGCCAAGUACAUGUGCAACACCUCCAAGCCAUUUGAAAUCGCCUCACUCUUGAAAACCGUGUCAAGCAUGUGUUUGGAAUCCGCGUCAGUCAGCACCAUUCUGCAGGCAGUUGAAAUUUCGAUUUGGGUGAAUCUGAUCACCGGUUGUCGGCCCCAAGUUUCAUUUUUCUCAGAGUAUAUUCCUUCAACACGUCUAUUCCAGUUUCUACCAGAAAUGGUCACUUCUAUUCUUAAAGAAUAUGCCUCGUUCGCCG
rnacentral:misc_RNA from 1 species